CGAGCACGCGCGUGUGGCAUAUCAAUAAGCGAGGAAAAGAAACUAACUAGGAUUCCCUUAGUAACGGCGAGUGAAGCGGGAAGAGCUCAAAUUUGAAAUCUUCAAGGUUCUACCUUGACGAAUUGUAGUUUAUAGAAGUGUUUUCUGUUAGGUGUAGUGGUCAAAAGUUCUUUGGAAUAGGACAUCAUAGAGGGUGAGAAUCCCGUAUUUGGUCAUUCCUCCUAGCGUUGUGAUACACUUUCAACGAGUCGGAUUGUUUGGGAAUGCAGUCCAAAAUGGGUGGUAAAUUUCAUCUAAAGCUAAAUAUUGGCGAGAGACCGAUAGCGAACAAGUACCGUGAGGGAAAGAUGAAAAGAACUUUGAAAAGAGAGUUAAACAGUACGUGAAAUUGUCAAAAGGGAAGCGUUUGACACCAGUGUUGUUUUUUUCCGAAAAUCAAUUACGAAUGUUUUAUUUUUGAGGAGUUAUGACUUCAUCGGCUUGCUCCUUUCUUUAUGAAACUUUCUUAAUGCACUUUUCGGUUAACAAGUCAACAUCAAUUUCUUUUGUUGUAAAAGGGUAUGAGGAAGGUGGCUUUCUUUUCGGAGAAAGUGUUUAUAGCCUUGUGCCUCUGCAAUCGGAGAGAUUGAGGUCUGCAGCGUAGAUCCUUCGGGGUUAGAUACGUUUGUGCUAAGUUAUAGCUUUUCAUAGACAACUUGUUGACUAUGUUUAGUCUUGUAGCUUACUCGCUGACGCUAUUUUACCUACGCUUAGGAUGUUGAACUCUAUCACACACAG
rnacentral:rRNA from 1 species